rnacentral:rRNA from 1 species
GUGUCAGCAGCCGCGGUAAUACGGAGGGUGCAAGCGUUAUUCGGAAUUACUGGGCGUAAAGCGCGUGCAGGCGGCUCGAGAAGUCUGAUGUGAAAGCCCCGGGCUUAACCUGGGAAGUGCAUUGGAAACUCUCGGGCUUGAGUGCUGGAGAGGAAGGAGAAUUCCCGGUGUAGAGGUGAAAUUCGUAGAGAUCGGGAGGAACACCAGUGGCGAAGGCGCCCUUCUGGACAGCAACUGACGCUGAGACGCGAAAGCGUGGGGAGCAAACAGGAUUAGAUACCCUAGUAGUCC